rnacentral:rRNA from 1 species
UACGUAGGGGGCAAGCGUUAUCCGGAAUCACUGGGCGUAAAGGGUGCGUAGGUGGCUGAUCAAGCCAGGGGUGAAAGGCAUUGGCUCAACCAAUGUAAGCCUUUGGAACUGAUCGGCUUGAGUGCAGGAGAGGUAAGUGGAAUUCCUAGUGUAGAGGUGAAAUUCGUAGAUAUUAGGAGGAACACCAGUGGCGAAGGCGACUUACUGGACUGUAACUGACACUGAGGCAUGAAAGCGUGGGUAGCAAACAGG